UACGAAGGGGGCUAGCGUUGCUCGGAAUUACUGGGCGUAAAGGGCGCGUAGGCGGACGACUAAGUCAGAGGUGAAAGCCCAGGGCUCAACCUUGGAACUGCCUUUGAUACUGGUCAUCUAGAGUGCGGGAGAGGUGUGUGGAACUCCGAGUGUAGAGGUGAAAUUCGUAGAUAUUCGGAAGAACACCAGUGGCGAAGGCGACACACUGGCCCGUAACUGACGCUGAGGCGCGAAAGCGUGGGGAGCAAACAGG
rnacentral:rRNA from 1 species